rnacentral:rRNA from 1 species
ACGGAAGGCAGCAGUGAGGAAUAUUGGUCAAUGGACGCAAGUCUGGACCAGCCAUGCCGCGUGCAGGAAUAAGGCCCUAUGGGUCGUAAACUGCUUUUGUGGUGGAGCAAUAAGUCGUACGUGUACGGCGAUGAGAGUACAUCACGAAUAAGCAUCGGCUAACUCCGUGCCAGCAGCCGCGGUAAUACGGAGGAUGCAAGCGUUAUCCGGAUUUAUUGGGUUUAAAGGGUGCGUAGGCUGUGGUCCAAGUCAGGGGUGAAAGCCCGGAGCUCAACUCCGGAACUGCCUUUGAUACUGGAUUGCUGGAAUACGGAUGCCGUGGGAGGAAUGAGUAGUGUAGCGGUGAAAUGCAUAGAUAUUACUCAGAACACCGAUUGCGAAGGCAUCUCACGAAUCCGUCAUUGACGCUGAGGCACGAAAGCGUGGGGAUCAAACAGGAUUAGAUACCCUGGUA